rnacentral:lncRNA from 1 species
CUCGAGCCACUUCCUAAUCCCAGACCUGACUUGAUCUUACUCUAGAACUUGUUCUUCUUCUGCUUCUUGGUGGUACUGCUCCACCUCUUACUACCUGAACUUAAGGAAGAAGGAUCCACUUUUCCCCUACCUGGGGUUUUGGAACCGGAAGGCUGUGCCACUGACUGCUUGACUUUUCCCUCGAUGAUAGCAUUAGCCUCCAUUCUCCUAGCCAUAUCGACUAUGGUGUGAAAACUCUCUCUAUCUGCUGACUGUACCAAGGAGGAAUACCUGGGAUGGAGCUUCAUGAUAUACCUCCUCGACUUCUUCUGGUCUGUGCUAAGGUCCUGCCCAGCAAAUGGCAGCAACUCCAUAAACCUGUCAGUAUAUUCGUCUACACUCAUGUCAUCUGUUUG